CCUACGGGUGGCUGCAGUCGAGAAUCAUUCACAAUGGGGGAAACCCUGAUGGGGCGACGCCGCGUGGGGGAAGGAAGGUCUGCGGAUGGUAAACCCCUGUCAUGGGGGAGCAAAGUAAAAAGAUAGUACCACAAGAGGAAGAGACGGCUAACGCUGUGCCAGCAGCCGCGGUAAUACAGAGGUCUCAAGCGUUGUUCGGAACCACGGGGCGUAAUGCGUGCGUAGGCUGUUUCGUACGUCGUGGGUGAAAGGCGCGGGCUCAACCCGCGGACGGCACCGGAUACUGCGAGACUAGGGUACUGGAGUGUGAACCUGAAUUCUCGGUGUAGCCGUGCACUGCGUCGAUAUC
rnacentral:rRNA from 1 species